GAGUUGUAAUUUGUAGAGGAUGUUUCGGGUACCGCCUCGGUUUAAAUUUCUUGGAACAGAAUGUCAAAGAGGGUGAGAAUCCCGUCUUGGACCGGCGGUAGGGCCCAUGUGAAACUCCUUCGACGAGUCGAGUUGUUUGGGAAUGCAGCUCAAAAUGGGUGGUAAAUUUCAUCUAAAGCUAAAUAUUGGCCAGAGACCGAUAGCGCACAAGUAGAGUGAUCGAAAGAUGAAAAGCACUUUGAAAAGAGAGUUAAACAGUAUGUGAAAUUGUUGAAAGGGAAGCGCUUACAACCAGACUUGCGCGCGGCGGUUCCCCCUUCCUUUUGGUUGGGCUACUCCGUCGUGUCCAGGCCAACAUCGGUUCUGGGGGUCGGUUAAAGACCCUGGGAAUGUAUCUACCCUUCGGGCGUAGACUUAUAGCUCAGGGU
rnacentral:rRNA from 1 species